GAGCGGAGGAAGGGGAAGGCGGUGGUCGUCGUUCGAGUGGCCUCCUCAGGGUCAGAGUUGAGAAGGGGUGGUGGCUGCUCCUGCCUCCUCCGGAUCCUAGGGCCUGGACCAGCUUGUUCUGAUGCACUGGGUCGCGGUAGCAGAUAAACCAUGGGAACAGCUCUCCUUCCCUCUGCCUUUGAAUUUGUGUGGGGGGCCAGUGUGAGCAGUGAGUGCCCUCACCGGAUGCCCAGGUCCCAGAUGGGUCGCGUUGCACUGGCUCCUCCAAUGUGACUGUCAGGUCUGUUUCCUCUUCGCGACCCCACCUCGCCCCCCACCCCCCAGGUCGCUAGGGGGGCUGCAGCAGGCACAUUUCUGCCCUGCCUGUUUGGGAGUCCUGGCAGAGCCUUCUUGCAGGUCACAACCCGCCUUCUUGGGGGUUCCAGCUUGAGGGGGAGAGGGGGAGCAGCAAGGUCUCAAAUAUGCCCCUGAGGCUUCUGCUUGCCGUCCUGAUUCUCUGCAACUGAGCCUGUGGGGCAGACCCUUGGCUCUGGUCCCUGGGCAGCUCCUCUCGGUUGGUUGUCCCCACUAACACACACAGAUCUCAUACUUGGGUGGAUGAUGGAUAAGGUUGGUCCCUGGGGAAACGCUAGAAAUUGGAUCACUUGGUCUACCCAGUCUUGGAUAGUGAACGGAGCCUCCUGUGUGGACGGAAGCCCAAGAGGGUUGGACCAACCUCCAGCCCAGCCCUGGGUCCAGGUUGAGGUGGGUUUCAUCAUUAAAUGCUUCCUGCAGGUAAGGUUCCAGCUGUCCCCACUCCCAGGAGCAAGCUGUUAGGCUGGGUCCUGUCCACUUCUCUCUGGGUCUGUCUGUUACCUCCUGAGUACCCAUCAGCCCUUUGCCCUGGAUUUUGGACUCCCCAGGCCUUACCUGCAGGUCUUGAGCACAGCUAGUUCUGGACCUAUUCUAUCUGCCUUGUUAGAUCAUGUCCACCCUUCUUGGAGCCUGCUCUCUGUGGCUCCCCCAGCACAAGAGCCUUCAGGCUUCUUAAGUAAGUGGACCUUGUAGGUGCAUAUGGGUUCCAUGUGGAGCCAAACCCCUGCCUAUGUAUUUCAGUAAAUUCUAAGGAUUGCCCUUGGAGUCACCUCCAUGCUCCUCACAGACCGCAAACAUAGCUCCAAGGAUCCACUGCUGUCAGGGUUGGUUUGUGCAUAUAUGUGUGUGUGUGUGUCACUGCAGAUAGGCUGUUCUAGAAUCCACUUGGGCUGCAGUUCCAGCUACCAGAGGUACAGAAUUUCCCAGCCAUUCCACAGCCCCUGGUCACUCACACCCUCCUGGAGGCCUGUGGUCUGCCUGUCUCCAUUCCCCUCCUCUUUACCACUGUGCACAUGCAGCCUUGUACCUUCUCCCUAACUCAGCACCCAAUAUGCACUUUUUCAACAGGGUAUCUCUGCUCCCUAGGAUCUGAUCUUUAUUUUCUUGCAGCCCAAGCUGACCUUCCCAAACUCAUUCUCCUCAUAGUUCUUGAAAGUGUUCCCUCUUUUCAGCUCCUGUAAUUGGCCCCACUUCCUCCUACAAGGUGUUCUGAGUCACUCUUUAUCUGCCAACCAAGGAAUAGUCAGUUCACCGGUAGUUAAGGACAAGCCCUGUAGAGACUGAGUUGCACUGGCGGAAACACUGGGCAUGUGGAUCUAAAUGGCACAUGAGUCCUUCCAGCGCUGCUCCCAGGAGUCCCUCACUGGCAUAAGGCCUAUUGUUAAGGUCAUUUAGGACCACGUCUUCUAAGCAGCACCCACAGAGUGUCACCACUGUGGUACCCUAUUCCCGGCCCAGCUCUGACCUCCUAUUGUCCUCUUGGUCAGAACCAAGAAUUUCCUCCUCUGCUUCAGGGACCCCAAAGCAGGUGCCUCAGAGGGUCCUACUCCCCUUCCUCACUUUCCACCUUGCUCUGCCUCCAACCCUGUUUCUGGCUCACAUGCUCCCCACCCUCCUGCUCUGGUUAUCUCUCCAGAAUCUCUGAGCUCCUUCCACUGGGCCAGAACCCUCUCUCAGAAUGUCAAGCUCUUGAACUCCCACCUCCUCCAAGAAGCUUUUUUGAUAGAUUGGAAGGGACCUAAUACUCUUUCUGACUUCAGCCUUUCCAGCCUUUUCCCAUCAGCAACAGUGGCUACAUAACAACUUGGUUAAGGGCUGGGCUCUGGGUCUAAGAUGUGCAAGAUGGAUAUGGAUGGAAUUUUAAAGACAAGCAGACAAGCUAAUCAAAGAGAUCCAGAAAGAGUAACAACAUUGCUGUUGUAUAUAAGCCGGUGGCAUUGAGAGCUGAGAGGGAGGGUUAUUAUGUUUCUGCAGGGGGAGCCCAAGGGGAAUAAGCCUAGUGAAACCAGAAAGACUUCAUGGAGGAGGUGGGCUUCAUAGAAGGUUGGUGGCUUUCCCACAUUUGCAAGUGUACUCUUCUGGUUAGGUUAUGUUUGGGUUCAUAUUCUGAGAUUCAUCUAUCUUCAUUAUAAUAGUAUCUCUGUGUUGCUUCUCAUCUCUCCAUCUCCCUUAUGUUCCUCUGGGGCAGUGCUGGUUGUGUCAGACUUCCUUAGAUGGGAAAGCCCCUGAGGCCAGUCUCCUUGUCUGUCUUCAUUGCUCUGUAGGUUACCUAGAACAGUGCCUAUUCAGAUUACUGGUUAUUCCUGAAGGUUCUUUAAGGCAAAUACUCUAGGCCCAGACCAAGAACUGGAGGGCCUAGACUGAGGUUUUAGCCUGGAUAGGAUCUGGCCUUAUUGAUGAGUGCAUCCCAUCAGAUUCACCAGAGAUGCUCCUCUCACUCACCCAACCUGGGCAGGUGGGCCCCAUCUUUUAAGAGAACAUCUCCGGACAAUGCUGCUCACACUUUGCCUCCCUUUUGCUCUUCUUAUCUCCCUUCUGAGAAGCCAUAGUCUGGGAGGCAGGACACGGGAGUCCUAGUCUAUGGCUGCCAGUUGUAUGACCUUGGGGAAGUAAUUUCAGCUCUCUGGGACUCGGUUUCAUCAUAUUAAAAUGCAAGGGUUCUACGGAUUUGACUCUUAUUAUCAGAUAAAAAUGAAUAUUAAAAGAACAAGAUAACAUUUUAGGAAUUGGACUAGAGGAGGAUUCCUAAAGCCUCUUUCAACUCCACAGUUCUGAUUCUAAACAAAAUCUGUCCUGUGAAUCUGUUUCACUCUCCAGCUCCAGCCCUGUCUGCUUCUCCCUAAUCUGUUUCUGUCUGAUGGGCUCAGUCUUUGUGUGCACAGCAUCCAUGUGAGGCCUGCACUUCUGCGGUUCACCCCAGGAGAUGAAGGGGAGGGGAGCUUAGGCUCUCAGCAAUGUAAAUCUCCCUAGGUCCCUCCAAGCUUUAGAGGGGCCCCUGAAAGGUGAGAAGGCAAAGAAGAGGAGGGCAAGAUGGCUGAGGCCCAGGAUAUCCCCAGUAAACAUCAAAGGCCCCAGAAACCAAGGUCAUUGCACCUCCCUGUAGGGGCCCCUACAAGGAGGCUAAUGAUGACACAGGUUCUUAAAACAGCCAGGAUGGAGACCCAGCCUGGGCAUCUGAGUGCCUGGAUCCUGCUGCCCCCCCCCCCACCCUGGCACCCCCAACUCCCUUGCCCAUCAGUCUCAGCUCCUGAGGUGUGCAGAGGGGGUGGGUAUGCACGAGCCCAGACUUCUCUCCCUCUCCUGAGGACCUUACCCCAGGGGAGAAGUGGGUGGCUAAAACAAAGGAGGGGAGCAGAACCCCUCUACAGAUAACAGUGGAGGGGGGAGGGGGUAAGCAGAGAGAAGAGAGGAAUUGACAGAGGAGGUGCUGCUAGCUGUCAGGAGGGAGACCCAAAUUCUCAUGUCUUCCCAUUUCGCAGGCUGUUUGCUAGAAGGACUUAAUUAAGGAGCCCAAAUAUAGUUUCUUUUGAACAGUGAAUAGGGCUGGGAGCACAGAUGAGGAAUGUGAUGCUCUGGGGUGGGGAGAGAAGGGACCAAUGCUGAGAUGCUGGAGGGCCCAGGGUGAAGGGGACAGAGAAGACAGGGGUGAGCUGGUGACUCCUUUUCCCUGCCUUAAGCUCUGCUGCUUUCCUUGAUGGAAGGGGGGCCAUUUCUUCCUUUCCCAUCCUCUGUCCUGAUCUCCCUCCAACUCCCUGGCUCCUGCCUUCACCUCCUUUACUGUCCCCUGAGAACAGCUCUCUCUGUCCAGUCCUCCCAGCACUCACCAGAAGCUUUAAGUCUUGGUUCACCUUCUGCCUCCACCAAGCCCCCUUUUUGCCUCCUCCCUUUCGUCCCCCACUCCUUCUCCUCCCAGGCCCCGCUGGCGCCCAGCAUAGCACUACAGAUGUAGGAGCAGAUCAAGAAGGGUGGGGGUGGUAGCUGUUGCUUUUCUGGGAUAUUCUUAGCCUGUCUGGGGGCUGGAGCUGGAAUCAGCGUUUCCAUCUCAACCAGGCAGGUGGCUGCCAGAAACUGCCACUGUGACUGGGUCUUCAUCUGGUUCCAUAUCCCUUAUCCUGUCCCUUCCUCCUCUAUAUUGAUUUCAUCGAUGAACACAGACCCUCUGAGAGUCCAGCCUUCCCACCCUUGUGCCCUAGAUGGAAGGUUUCCUCUGCCUAUCAGGCAUAGCCCCAGGAAGGUGUGCAAACCUCACUGGAGGCUCUGCGGGGAAAGAAGGGCCUUCGAGAACUCUAGCUCAGAUGCUCCCUAGAGUGGAACACAGCCCUCUCCUCUCUGCCCCCAGGCCCUCUUCUUUCAUCUGCCCCCAGCAACCCCUGCAUGGUACUCAGUCCCCAGACUGUAUUCACCACCAUGAAGGCCUUUCUUAUCUUGAUUUACAGGAAUCACUCAGGGGCCCUAGAGUUUCAGAAGCUGCCUCCUGAAAGCGGCUGAACCCUGGAGUCCAGGCCUCCUUUGGGCCAGAACAAGGGGCUCACUGACCCAGAUCUCUCCCCACAUCUUUUUUUUUUUGAGACAAAGUCUCACUCUUUUGCCCAGGCUAGAGUGCAGUGGCAUGAUCUUCACUCAUUCCUGGGCUCAAGGGAUCCUCCCACCUCAGCCUCCCAAGUAGUUGGGACCACAGGCAUGCAUCACCAGGCCUGGCUAAUUUUUGUACUUUUUGUAGAGAUGGAGUUUCACCAUGCUGCCCAGGCUGGUCUCUAACUCCUGGGCUCAAGCAGUCUGCCCACCUCAGCCUCAAAGUGUUAGGAUUACAGGCAUGAGCCACCUCGCCCAGCCUUCUCAGAUGCCCUUAUCAGUAGAGGGAGGGGCAAAGAAGAAAUCUCACUCAUUCACAAAUCGCACAAAAAAUGUUUGUCACCUUAAGAGGGACAGACAGUGCAGGGUCUCCUAUGUGGGUUCUGAGGUCAUUCGGUCUAUGUUCAAAUCCAGCCCCUCCACUUAUGACCUGGGGCCCUUGGGGCAAGUUUCUUAAUUCUUCUGAGGUCUAUAAAAGUGGACCAUACAAGGUGCAGUAGGAAGAGAUCACCAUCCACAGUCGGGCUGAGGCUGAAAGCACGUACCAGAUCAAGUAUGAGGAGCUGCAGACGCUGGCUGGGAAGCAUGGGGAUGACCUGCGUUGUGCAAAGACAGAUCUCCGAGAUGAACCAGAACAUCAGCAGGCUCCAGGCUGAGACUGAGGGCCUCAAAGGCCAGGGGGCUUCCCUGGAGGCCGCCAUCGCAGAUGCCGAGCAGUGGGGGGAGCUGGCCAUUAAAGAUGCCAACACCAAGCUGUCUGAGCUGGAGGCCGCCAUGCAGCGGGCCAAGCAGGACAUGGCACGCAGCUGGGUGAGUACCAGAAGCUGGCCCUGGACAUCGAGAUCGCCACCUACAGGAAGCUGCUGGAGGGCGAGGAGAGCCGUCUGGAGUCUGGGAUGCAGAACGUCCAAACACAAAGGCCUCCCGACCUUAGAGUUCUGCGUCUGGAUGUUUUUGGCUACAAAACCAGAAAACUCCUUCUCAACUGGCUUAAACAGUGAGUUUUGCAUCACACAUCACAAGGAGGCUGGAGGUAGGGCAACCCAGGGACUUUUAAUUGAGCAGUUUGCAUACUCCGUGGAGGACUUGAAUUCUUUCCAUCCCUGUUUUAUAUGUGUGGUUCUGCCCUUGCUUUUUUCAUUUGACAAUAUAUCCUUGAAAUCAUUUCCAACAGGAUGGAAAGAGCUACCUUAUUGUUUUUAGAUUGAAUAGUGUUCCAUUUUAAAGAGAUAUCAUAAUGUACUUAACCAAUUCCCUUGUAAUGAGCACUUACUUUUUUUCCAAUCUUUUGCUGUUACAAUGAUGUGAUGAAUACUCGUACAUAAGUUAUUUUACAUGUGACUGAGUGCAUCCAAGGAUAAAUUCCUAGAAGUGAACUUGCUGGGUCACAAGCUAUAUGCCUUUGUAAUUCUGGCAGAUGUUGCCAAUCUGCCUUCCACAGGGGUUGUACCAAUAUACUCCCCUCCCCAAAUGUGUACAGGAGCACUUCAAGUCUUUUUGACACCUUAACUUAAACAUAGGCUAGAAAAAAUAUGGCAGGUGUCUGGGUGAUUUCUGCAUAGAGAAACAAAGAUGGGUUGUUUAUCAACUCAGUCUUUUUAGCUGGCACCAACACAAGCCUCAGUGCUUUUUCAAUAAAUUAGUAAUCUCUGUGGACUCCCCUGCCCUCACAAUUGUCAGGGUACUAGGCUGUCCAUGCACAGUCCACAUUUCAGAACUUAGUAUCUGCAAUUAGAUCAUUCUGUCCACAAACUACUCCUCUCUAGAGGUCUUUUCUCCCCAUCUCCACCUGGCAAUCUCCUAGUCCUCCCUCAGGCCCAGUUGAGAUGCCCCCUUCCUCCAUUAAACAUUAUCUGACACCCCUAGGCAGAAUUAGCCACUCUUCUUUGCUCCCGUGGAAUUUUGUUCACACCUCAAUCAUGGCACGAAUCACUUGUAAUGUAAUUAUCCACUUACCUGUUCAUCUCCCACAUUGCAUGCCUUAAGGAUAGAAACUUCAUCUUCAUCUCUGGGCCAGCGCUUCUACACAUGGUACCUGGCACAUAAACACUUCACAGUAAAGCUUGCUGAAAUGAAAUCAGGCAGGGGCGCAGUUUUGUGGUGCCUGGUGGCAAAAUCAAACAGUAUUUAUUUUUUCCCUUUUCUGGUAGUAUCAAUGAAAAGGUAAAAAAUAUGGCACUUCUGAGUAUUUCUUUCUAUCUUUUUGUGUUCCUGGACUUCUCCUUCUCCUGGAAUCUGUCCUGUUCUCAGUGCCUAGAACAAUGCCUGGGAAACAACAGGCAUUUCAUAAAUAAAUGUUGGAUGAAUGGGUAUCUUUGAUCAGAGGAAGCUUCCAAAAUGCAGCUGAUUUUUUUUUUUUUUUUUUUUUUUUUUUGCCUGCUUGAUGUGCCCAAAGGGUAUUUCCAAGUCUUUCCAAACCCUCAAGCAUGGACCCUCAUUUGCCAGUUCUGUGUAUUUGGGUUUUAUUUCACCUCGAGUUAAUGCAUGUAAAAGUGCUUAGAACAAUGCCAGCCACUUAGUAAGCAUUCAAUAAGUGCUGACUAUUAUUUUUUAUUAUUAUUCCCACUAGCCCAAACAUGCUCCCAUCAGUCCACCCCUUGUGCUGGGCUCUUCAUUUCUCUCCCCACCAGUUAAUGCGGCCUCAAUCCCUGGAAAACAUCCAUGUAAGCACUCAUGUUUCAAUUUACCAACUGUGUGACCUUGAGCCAGUUACUUAAUCUCUUGGAGGCUCAGUUUCUUCAUUUGAAAAAUAGGCAUUAUCUUAAUAUCUACCUCUAGAUAGACAUUAGAUAGACAUUGUUAUGAGGAUUAAAGAGCCAAUCCAUAGACACUGCUUACCAUCAUGCAGGGCUCAGAGUCGGCAUUUAGCCAGCAUCAUGAUCAUGAUCAUGAUCAUCAUCAUCAUCAUCACUGCAGAUGCCAAACACCUUCCAUCUCUUCUUUCUGGGAGGCUCAUUCCCACAGCUCUUCUGGCUGAUGGUAAACCUUUAACUGGUUCUGAAGUUUGGGGCAUCACCAAGAAGCUUGUGUUGACCAUGUGAUAUGGUUUGGCUCUGCAUCCCCACCCAAAUCUCAUCUUGAAUUUUAAUCCCCACAUGUCAGGGGAGGGGUCUGGUGAGAGGUGAUUGAAUCAUGGGCAUGGACUUCCCCAUUGCUGUUCUUGACUGUGAGUGAAUUCUCAUGCGAUCUGGUUGUUUGAAAGUGUGUGGCACUUCCCCUUCACUCUUUCUCUCUCCUGCUCUGCCAUGGUAAGACACGCUUGCUUCCCCUUUAAGUUCUGCCAUGAUUGUAAGUUUCCUGAGGCUUUCCAGCCAUGCUUCCUGUUAAGCCUGCAGAACUGUGAGUGAAUUAAACCUCUUUUCUUCACAAAUUACUCAGUCUCAGGCAGCUCUUUAUAGCAGUGUGAAAAUGGACUAUACAGAAAAUUAUUUAUAACAGCUAUAAAGAUAUCUGAAAAUGUGGAAGCAACUUUGGAACUGGGUAACAGGCAGAGGUUGGAACAGUUCGGAAAGCUCAGAAGAAGACAGGAAGACGUGGGAAAGUUUGGAACUUCAUGAAGAUUUGUUGAAUUGUUUUGAUGAGAAUGCUGAUAGUGAUAUGGACAAUGAAGUCCAGACUCAAGUGGUCUCAGAUGGAGAUGAGGAACUUAUUGAGAACUAGAGUAAAGGUCACUCUUGCUAUGCUUUAGCAAAGAUACUGGUAGCAUUUUUUCCCCUGCCCUAGAGAUCUGUGGAACUUUGAACUUGAGAGAGAUGAUUUAGGGUAUCUGCUGGAAGAAAUUUCUAAGCAGCAAAGCAUUCAGGAGGUAAACUGGCUGUUUCUAAAAGUGUAUGCUCAUAUGCAUGAACAAAGAGAUGAUCUGAAACUGGAACUUACAUUUAAAAGGGAAGUACAGCAUAUAAGUUUAGAAAAUUUGCAGCCUGGCCAUGUGGUAGAAAAGAAAAAUCCAUUUUCUGGGGAGAAAUUCAAGCCUGCUGCAGAAGUUUGCAUAAGUAAAGAAGAGUUAAAUAGCCAAGACAAUGGGGAAAAUGUCUCCUGGGCAUUUCAGAGACCACUGAGGCAGCCCCUCCCAUCACAAGCCCAGAGACCUAGAAGGAAAAAAUGGUUUCAUGGCCCAGGCCCAGGCCCCAGCAGCUCUGUGCAGCCUUGGGACGUGAUGCCCUGGAUCCCAGCCACUCCAGCUCUAGCCAUGGCUAAAAGGGGCCAAGGUACAGCUCGGGCCAUUGCUUCAGAGAUUGCAAGCCCCAAGUCUUUGGCAGCUUCCAUGUGAUGUUGGGCCUGCAGGUGUGCAGAUGGCAAGAGUUGAGGUUUUGGAAUCUCCACCUAGAUUUCAGAGGAUGUAUGGAAAUGCCUGGAUGUCCAGGCAGAAGUCAGCUGCAGGGGCAGAGCCCUCAUGGGCAGUGCAGCGGGGAAGUGUGGGAUUGGAGCCCUGACACAGAGUCCCCACCAGGGCACUGCCUAGUGGAACCAUGAGAAGAGGGCCACCGUCCUCCAAACCCCAGAAUGGUACAUCCACUGACAGCUUGCACCAUGUGCCCAGAAAAGCCACAGGCACUCAAUGCCAGCCCAUGAAAGCAGCUAUGGGGGCUGUACCCUGCAGAGCCACAGAGGCAAAACUUCCCAAGGCCUUGGGAGCCCACCUCUUGCAUCAGCAUGCCCUGGAUGUGAGACAUGGAGUCAAAGGAGAUUAUUUUGGAGGUUUAAGAUUUAAUGACUUCCAGCCAGGGACAGUGGCUCACGCCUGUAAUCCUAGUACUUUGGGAGGCCGAGAUGGGUGGAUUGCCUGAGUUCAGGAGUUCAAGAACAGCCUGGGUAACACGGUGAAACCCUGUCUCUAAUAAAAUACAAAAAAUUAGCUGGGCAUGUCAGCAUGUGCCUGUAGUCCCAGCUACUCGGGAGGCUAAGGCAGGAGAAUUGCUUGAACCCAGAAGGUGGAGGUUGCAGUGAGCCAAGAUAGCACCACUGCACUCCACCCUGGGUGACAGAGCAAGACUCUGUCUCCAAAAAAAAAAAAAAAAAAAAAGAUUUAAUGACUUCCUUGCCAGGUUUUGAUCUUGCAUAGGACCUGUAGUCCCUUGGUUUUGGCCAAUUUCCCCCUUUGCAAUGGGAGCAUUUACCUAAUUCCUGUAUUUCCAUUGUAUCUUGGAAGUUACUAACUUGUUUUUUAUUUUACAGGCUCAUAGGCGGAAGGGGCUUGCCUUGUCUCAGAUGAGACUUUGGACUUAGACUUUUGAGUUAAUGCUGGAAUGAGUUAAGACUUUGGGGGACUGUUGGGAAGGCAUGCUUGGCUUUGAAAUGUGAUGACAUGAGAUUUUGGAGGGGCCAGGGGUGGAAUGAUAUGGUUUGGCUCUGUCCUCACCCAAAUCUCAUUUCGAAUUGUAAUCCCCACAUGUGGGGGGAGGGGCCUGGUGGCAGGUGAUUGAAUCAUUGGGGUGGAGUUCCCGCUUGCUAUUCUUGUGAGAGUGAGUUCUCACAAGAUCUGGUUGUUCAAAAGUGUGUGGCACUUCCCUCUUCACUCUCGCUCUUUCCUGCUCCACCACGGUAAGACAUGCUUGAUUCCCCUAACCCCUCCACCACAAUUGUAAGUUACCAGCCAUGCUUCCUGUUAAGCCUGUGGAAAUGUGAGGAAAUUAAACCUCUUUUCUUCAUAAAUUACUCAGUCUCAGGUAGUUCUUUAUAGUUAAAAUGGAUUAAUAUAUCAUGUGUUGAUGAAGUUCCUGUUAUUCCCUCCUUACCCUCCUACGUGGAUUAUCUAAAGAUAUUUAUUUCACUCCCACAAAAAUGUUUUGUUCUCACCCAUUCCCGAGAGCUGAAAGUAGGCUGUGGGAACUUUGAGUGAGAAAAUAAGAGCAGCCUACUCCCCCUGACCAUAUUCCUGCCUGAUGGCCAGUAUUUGGGUGACACUUCACCCUGCCACCAAUUUUUUGAGUCCUAUUUCCCACAGACUCUGUGUUAGUCCAUUCUUGUGCUGCUAUAAAGAAAUACCUGAGACUAGGUAAUUUAUAAAGAAAACAGGCUUUGAUUUGGCUCACGUUUCUGCAGGCUGUACAGGAAGCAUGGUGCCAGCAUCAGCUUCUUGUGAAGGCCUCAGGAAGCUUUCAAUCAUGGCACAAAGUGAAGGGGAGCCAGCACAUCACAUGGUGAAGAGAGGGCGCAAAAGAGAGAAGGGGGAGGUCUCAGAUUCUUUUAAACAACCAGUUCUCAUGUGAACUAACUGGGAGAGAACAUCACCAAGAAAUGGUGCUAAGCCAUUUGUGAAGGAUCCACCCCCAUGAUCAAAUCACCUCCCACCAGGUCUCACCUCUAACAGUGACGGUUACAUUUCAACAUGAGAUUUGAAGAGGACAAACACCCCAAACAUAACAGACUCACUUGUGACUUUGCCCUGUAAACUUUCAGGGAAAAUGAGGUCACUUCUGACCCAGAGACUCUGUCAUCUUACCCUCUCCUGGGGGUCUUCAUCUAAAGAAGUAAGUGUAAAUUCCUUACUGAUCCAGUUUUGUAUGUGUAUGUGUGUGUAUACACAAAAUUUACUAUAUAGAAAGUAAAUUCUUCUACUAUAUAUAUGCAUUAUAUAUAUACACAUUAUAAUGUAUAUAUAUAAUGUAUAUAUAAAUAUAUAUAAUUGUGUGUGUGUGUGUGUGUGUGUAUAUAUAUAUAUAUAUAUACAGUAGAAGAAUUCAGAGGUGUUAGAAAUUAUGAAGAGGGGCCAGGCACGGUGGCUCACGCCUGUAAUCCCAGCACUUUGGGAGGCCAAGGCGGGCGGAUCACGAGGUCAGGAGAUCGAGACCAUCCUGGCUAAUGCGGUGAAACCCAGUCUCUACUAAAAAUACAAAUAUUAGCCAGGCGUGGUGGCGGGUGCCUGUAGUCCCAGCUACUCGGGAGGCUGAGGCAGGAGAAUGGCAUGAACCCAGGAGGCAGAGCUUGCAGUGAGCUGAGAUCAUGCCACUGCACUCCAGCCUGGGCGACAGAGCGAGACUCCAUCUCAAAAAAAAAAAAAAAGAAAGAAAUUAUGAAGAGGAUUAUAAGAUAACUACCACAGAAGGCAGGUGGAAGUGGUCUCUGUGGAGAAGGAAGAAUUGGGGAAGAGCCCACAAGGAACACACGAGACCAUCGUUAUAUUUGUUUCUCACCCUGAGUAGUGGGUACACAGAUGUUCACUGGACUAUUAAUCUUUAAAAUGUACAUAUAUAUUUAACACAUUGAAGUGUACAUGAUGGAUUUCAUAAUUUUUUUAAAGUAAAAUAUUGUGAAAGGGAAGGGAAGGAAGGAAAGGAAGGCAAAUGAAAGGAAAAGAAAGGAAGAAAGAAAGAAGGAGGGAGGAUGGGAGGAAGAAAGAAAACUGGAUUUGUUAAUAGGAAAGAAUAUAUCAAUGUCAAAUCCCCAUUCUAGGCUAGCAUUAUUCAGCAUCCAGAAGGAUCAUCUCAACAAUUACUCAGUGGAUCAGCUUAUUUAAUUGAUGACUGUACAGUUAAUUCAUGCUCAAAAAUCAAACAUUCUAAGCUUCUUUCUAUGAAUAUCUUCCAGACCAAGAUUAUUCAUCUCAUGGUUUUAAAGGACAGAAUUUCCUGGAGAAUGUUGGUCCUCUUGUAGGUGCUACUGCAGCAAAGUUGAAACAAUCAUACGUCAGACCAAAAUACAAGUCAGUUCUUCAGUUUUCACUAAUUAAAAUUAACUCUGUCUAAAUAAAUCAACUCUUACCACCUUCAGGAUUCAUAUCUCAAGUAAGAGACAUUCUUACUGACCAAUAACACAAAAUAUCCCACCCUCAGCACUAGGAUCCUCAGUUUUGAAUUCUUUCAACCAUUUUUGUCAAAAGCCUUGCUGUAGCCAGGUGUGGUGGCACAUUCCUGUAAUCUCAGCUACUCGGGAGGCUGAGGAGGGCAGAUCCAUUGUCCCUAGGAGUUGAAGGCCAGCCUGGGCAACAUAGCAAGACUCUGUCUCAAAAAAAAAAAAAAUACAUGACAACAAUAACAUGAAAGCCAGGAGAAUGCUAAAAUGAAUUAAAGUGUCAUAAGGUCCCUAGAGUUAUUUAGAAAAGGGUGAAAGUACUAAUUCAAGGGUGACCUAAUUAAGCCAAGGAUGCAUGCUAUAAUAUGUGGGUAAUAAAAUAACAAUAAUAGCAAACACGUGACUACUAAUUUAUAGAGGAUGAAAAUGAAAUAAUUAGGAAAAUAUUGAUUGAUCCAAAAGAAGGCAAGAAAGAGGUAAAAAGAAACAAAAAACAGAUGUGAAAAAUGGAAAAAAAUGGCAAAAUGGUAUACUUUAAACCCUACAGUAUCAGUAAUUACCAUAAUAUAAAUCAAUUAAAGGCAAAGAUUUUCAGACUGGACAAGAAAAAAAAAACAACUAUAUGCUGUUAUAGAAGACACACCUUAAACAUAAGGAUGCAUAAAGGUUGGAAAUAAAGGGAUUUUUGGCCAGGUGUGGUGGCUCAUGCCUGUAAUCCUAGCACUUUGGGAGGCUGAGGUGGGUGGAUCACCUGAGGUUAAGAGUUCAAGACCAGCCUGGCCAACAUGGUGAAACCCCAUCUCUACUAAGUAUACGAAAAUUAGCCGGGUGUGGUGGCACACGCCUGUUAUCCUAGCUACUUGGGAGGCUGAGGCAUGAGAAACACUUGAACCCGGGAGGUGGAGGUUGCAGUGAGCUGAGAUUGUGCCACUGCACUCCAGCCUGGGCAACAGAGCGAGACUCUGGAAAGAAAGAAAAGAAGGAAGGGGAGGGGAGGGGAGAGGAAGGGGAGGGGAAGGGAAGGGAAGGGGAAGGGGAAGGGGAAAGGGAAGAGAGAAAGAGAAAGAAGGAAAGAAAGGAAAGGAAGGAAGGAAGAAAGAAAGAAAAAGAAAGAGAAAGAAAGAAAGAAAGAAAGAAAGAAAGAAAGAAAGAAAGAAAGAAAGAAAGAAAAGAAAGCGAUUUUUUUAAAAAAAGAAAAAAAAUAAGUCAUGAAAACACCAAAAGGAAGCUGGUGUAUCUGUACUGGUAUCAUAAACAUAAGGAAAAAAGUAUUGCUAGAGAUAAUGAGAGACAUUUCAUAAUAACGAAAGGGAAAUUUUAAUAGGAAAAUAUAAAAUCCUAACUAUAUAUGCAAUUAAAAACAGCCUCAAAACAUAAAAGUAAUAACUGACAGGUCUAAAAGGAAAAAGAGAAAUCCAUAAUAAUAGUUGGAAAUUUUUUAACAUAUAGCUCUCAAUAACUGGUAGAAUAAGUAGACAAGAAAUCAACAUUAGGAUAUAGGAGAUUUUGAAUAACAUGAUUAACAAAACUGAUCUAGAUGACAUAUAAUUAUCAUACCCAAUAGCUGCAGAAUGCCAUCUUUUCCAAUAUACAUUGAACAAUGAUCAAAAUACCCCCACAGGUUUUUUUUUCUUUUCCUUGUAAGCAUUUUCAAUGAACUCACAAUUUUGAUACGCCAUUUCUCUGUUAUCAUUUAGUUUUAAACAUUGUCUUAUUUCCACUGUGAUUUCUUCUUUGGCCCAUGAGAACAUUCUUAGCAAGUGUGUUGCUUAACUUCCAAAUAUUUGUAAUCUUCUAGUUGUUUUUUGUUAUUGAUUUCUAGUUUAAUUUGUCAGAGAUUUCAAUCCUGUAAAAUUUGCUGAGAUUUCCUUUAUAGCCCAGCUUAAAACAAAACUCAAAAGGAUCAAACCAUUUCCAAGUAACUGCGUCCCAGAACAAAGUUCAAACAUAAUUAAAGGAAUACAAAAUAAUCUAGCACCCAACAAAGUAAAAUUUACAAUGUUUGGCACCUGAUCAAAGAUUACCUGGCUUACAAAGAAGUAGAAAAAUAUCACCUAUAAGGAGGAGAAAAAUAAAUCAAUGGAAGCCAACCUAGAACUGACAUAGGUGUUAGGAUUAUCAGACAAGGACAGUAAAACAAUUGUUACAACUAUAUUUUGUAUGUUCAAAAGUUAAGUAGACACUUAGAAGGUGUAUAAAAUUAAAAACCUAAAUUGAUCAUCCAGAGAUGAAAGCUACAAUGUGUGAGAUGAAUUAUACACUGAAAGGGAUUAGCAGAUUAGAUUUUAAAGAAAAAAUGAUUAGUGAACUUGAAUACAUAGACUAUGAUAAAUUUAAGAUGUAUGCUAUAAACCAUACAGCAACCACUAAAAUAAUGAAAUUAAGAGUUAGAGGCCAGGUGUGGUAGCUCACUCCUAUAAUCCCAGCACUUUGGGAAGCCAAGGCAGGAGGAUCACUGGUGGCCAAGAGUUCAAGACCAGCCUGGGCAACAGAGCUAGAUCCUGUCUCUGAAGUAAUUUAAAAAUUAGCAAGGUAUGGUGGAGCAUACUUGUAAUCCCAGCUACUGGGGAAACUGAGGUGGGAGGACUGCUUGAGACCAGGAGUUGGAGGCUGCAGUGAAAUGUGAUCACGCUGCUGCACUCCAGUCUGGGCAAGAGAGCAAGACCCUGUUAAAAAAAAAAAUAGAGUUAUAGCAAAAAGCCAAUUAAGAAAAUAAAGCAGAAUUUUUUAAAAAUACAAAAAUAGUCAACCCAAAAGCAGGUGGAAAAGGAAACAAAGAAUAGAUAGGACAAAUAGAAAACAAAUAGCAAGGUGCUGACACACCUAAUCAUAUCUUUAAAAUCACAUUAAAUGUAAUUUAAUUAAUUAAAUGGCACAGAUUGUCAGUUUGGAUUUUCUUUAAAAAAAGACCCAACUACAUGCUGCCUAAAAGAAACACACUUUAAAUAUAAAGAAACAAAUAGGUUAAAAGACAUAUGAUGCCAAUACUAAAAGAAAUUCACAGUGACUAUAUUAAUAUCAGAUAAAAUAGAUUGCAGAGAAAAUAAAGAAGGUCAUCUUACAAUGAUACAAGGGUCAACUCACCAAGAGAACAUAAUAGUCCUAAAUGUUUAUGCACCUAAAACCAGUUUCAAGACUGGUUUUGAAAAACUGAGAGAACUGUAUGGAGAAAUAGACAAAUCUACAAUUAUAUUCAGAGGUUUCAAUAUCUCUCCCAAUAAUUGACAGAACACAUAGACAGAAACUCAUGAGACUAUAGAAAAUAUGAACAACACUGUCAACCAACUUGACCUCACUGACAUUUAUGGGACACUCCACUCACAACAGCAGCAUACACAUUCUUUUCAAGUGCACACGGAACAAUUACCAAGAUAGGCCAUUUUGGGGGCAUAAAACAAUUAAAAUUAUUGUUACAAUUAUUCAAGACACACAAUGUAUAUUCUCUAAACUCAAUGAAAUUAAAUUAGAAAUCGUUAACAGAAAGCUCUCUGGAAAUUUCCCAAAUAUUUGGAAAUUAAAUAACAUACUCCUAAAUAACUUAUGGAUCAAGUAAGAUAUAAGUUAGAAAGUAUUUUGAACUGAAUAAAAAUAAAAAUCCAAAACAGUGAAGUUUGUGGGGUGCUACUAAAAGCAGUACUUAGAAAUGCACAGCACUAAGAACCUCUAUUAGAAAAGAAGAAAGGAGACCAGGCAUGGUGGCUUACGCCUGUAAUCCCAGCACUUUGGGAGGCCGACGUGGGUGGAUCACCUGAGAUCAGGAGUUCGAGGCCAUUCUGGCCAACAUGGCGAAACCCUGUCUCUACUGAAAUACAAAAAUUAGCCAGGCAUGGUGGCGGGCGACUGUAUUCCCAGCUACUCGAGAGGCUGAGGCAGAAUUGCUUGAAACCUGGGAGGUGGAGGUUGCAGUGGAUGAGAUCGUGCCACUGCACUCCAGCCUGGGCGACAGAGUAAGACUCCAUUUCAAAAAAAAAAGGUCCAAAAUCCAUGAUCUCAGUUUCCAACUUAAGAAACUAGAAAAAGAAGAGUAAGUAAAACUGAAAGUAAGUAGAUAAAAAGGAAAUAAUAAAUAUCAAAGCAGAAAUCAAUACAUUUUUUAAAUGGGAAGUUUAAAAAAUUCAAAACAGACACCAUGGAUUCAAUCAUGCUCAUUUCAGCAGCACAUAUACUAAAACUGGAAUGAUACAGAGAUUAGCACGGUCCCUGCACAAGGAUGACAUGAAAAUUUGUGAAGUGUUCCAUAUUAAAAAAAAUAAAGUAAUUCUAAAUUCAAUAGAAUAAUUUAUUUUUAUUUAUUUAGAGAUGGAUCUUGCUCACUCUGUCGCCCAGGCUGGAGUGCAGUGGCAUAAUCUUGGCUCACUGCAACCUCCGCCUCCUGGAUUCAAGCAAUUCUUGUGCUUCAGCCUCUCAAGUAGCUGAGAUUACAGGAAUGUGCCACCAUGCCUGGCUAAUUUUUGUAUUUUAGUAGAGACAGGGUUUCACCAUGUUGGCCAGUCUGGUCUUGAACUCCUGACCUCAAGUGAUCCACCUGCUUCAGACUCCCAAAGUGUUGAGAUUACAGGUGUGAGGCAUCAUCCUGGCUAAAUUCAACAGAAUAAUUUAAAAAACAAUAGAGAAAACCAAUGAAACUAAAACUUGUUUCUUUGAGAAAUAUCAAUGAAAUUGAUAAACUUCUAGCCAGAAUGAUCAGGAAAAAAAGAGG
rnacentral:lncRNA from 1 species